CCUACGGGAGGCAGCAGUGGGGAAUAUUGGGCAAUGGGCGCAAGCCUGACCCAGCAACGCCGCGUGAAGGAAGAAGGCUCUCGGGUUGUAAACUUCUUUUAUCAGGGACGAAGCAAGUGACGGUACCUGCUGAAUAAGCCACGGCUAACUACGUGCCAGCAGCCGCGGUAAUACGUAGGUGGCAAGCGUUAUCCGGAUUUACUGGGUGUAAAGGGCGCGUAGGCGGGAGUGCAAGUCAGAUGUGAAAACUAUGGGCUCAACCCAUGGCCUGCAUUUGAAACUGUACUUCUUGAGUGCUGGAGCGGUAAUCGGAAUGCCGGGUGUAGCGAUGAAAUGCGUAGAGAUACGGAGGAACACCAGUGGCGAAGGCGGAUUGCUGGACAGUAACUGACGCUGAGGCGCGAAAGCGUGGGGAGCAAACAGGAUUAGAUACCCCAGUAGUC
rnacentral:rRNA from 1 species